rnacentral:lncRNA from 13 species
UCGAUAUCUGGCUCUCGUGAUCCGCCCACCUCGGCCUCCCAAAGUGCUGGGAUUACAGGCGUGAGCCACCGCGCCUACCCGAAAAAUGUCUUCUUAAGAUCCAGCAAUUCCGUUCCUAGUUAUUUAUCCGCAGAAAUGCAAACGUGUCCGCCAAAAGGCAUGGGCCAGAAUGUUCACAACAGCAUGUUUUUUUGUAACAAUCACAAAACUGGAAGCUACCUAUAUUUUCAUUAAAAUAGAAUGAAUAAAUAAAUUGUAGUAUAUUCAUACAAAGAAAUACUGUGUACCGCAAUGAGAAACAACCAUCCUCAACCAUAAGCAAAAGCGUGGACGGAUCUCACUAACAUGCUAUUGAGUGACAAGAAACAAAACACAAAAGAACACAUUCUCUAUAAUUCUAUUUACUUAAAGUACAAAACAGGCAAAACUAGUCCUGGUGUUGGAAGGCGGGGUAGGGAUUACCCGAUUGGGGGAAAGAGCUGAGGGGGCAUUGAGGGUGCAGGUCCUGUUCUGUUGCUCGAUGUGGCUGCUAGUUGAACAAGUGUGUGCAGUUCGUGAACAAGCAUCUAGCUGUGCACGGGGCACCUUUAAUACUGCAAUGAAAUAUACAUUACAACCAUUGCAUGGGGUUUUGCCCAGGCGGUGUAGCCGUCCUCAAUAACAUUUCCAUUAAAAAAGACCUGCUGGGGGCUUGGAGCCCCAGUUAGGCGCUCACUCCUGCAGAGAUCCGCGCGGCCCCACCCUCCCUGUAGUCUCGGCGCGCAGCCAGGCCAGCGAGGGCGCAUCGCGCUGCCUAACGCGCAGCAGAGGAGACUCCAGUCCCGAAACCCGAGAGGGGCCGCCCAGCGCUCUCAGCCGGCUCGCAGAGCCUGGGCCUGGCUCAGGGAGCUUCAGGGCAAGAAACACCCGAGCGGUGAUAACUUCUGGAAACAUCCAGCACUAAAAAGAAAUGAGACUGCAGAAAGUGGAGGGCCACAGAAGCAGCAGCUCACAGGCUUUUUCGCAGGGGCCUGUCUCAGCCAGCGUUCAAAGACUAGUAAUGCAUAAACAUUGCUUGUCCUGGGG